UAUAAUUAAUAUCAAAUCAACUUAGAAUGCAGAGGCGGAACGGAGCUCUUCAGAAAAGGAUUUGCACAUUGGAUUUACUUCAGACCAUGGCUAUCAAUCAUGGCAGACAUUGCAGAUCGACCUUCCACCUCUCAGCCACUGGUCAUUUUCAGGGGUGGAACCAACGCAGCUUCAACACAGUUUUAGUUUGUGAUAAGGUCAGUUCAAAGGAAAGCAAUAGUGGAAGGUCAAUGGUACUUGGUAGACAGUUAUAAAUAAGCAUUGGCACAGCUCAUUUCCAGAUGCAGAUAAGAAGAGGAAUGUCACCUGUUAUAAGUG